rnacentral:lncRNA from 1 species
GGGAACUCCAAAAUAGGAGAGGCGGCAAAAUGUGAAACGCAGAGAAGUCUGCAUUUCCUUUCGCCCUUUCUUUCUCGCACCCACAGUUACACACACAUACACGCACGAACUCCACACAGUACUCAUAGAAGAUCCAUAAGUAACCGUUGCGCACUUGCAAUCACGAAAUCUCUCUCUCAUCCCCUGCAGCUUUUCUGAAUCGCACUUUCAGCUUCUCGUUGUUCGGAAGUUUUCCGAGUGUUGUUGUUGGUAAUUGAUGUUUCUAUUUUCAAUCUACAGCAUUGAUUUUAUUAGUAUUUGAGAUAUCUGUUAAUUACUUGAAAAACAUGCCAAUUAAUAGAUGCAUUUUGAAGUGACUGAUGUGUGAAUUAUAGUCAAAUUGAAGUUGUAAUUAACGUAUUCAUAUAAACAUCAAUGGCGAUUUGUAGAGGAAUCCGCGAUAAGUAGCCGCCGCUUUUUGCGUGCACUGAACAUGUUUGUAGGUGUGCGUAGCGAUAUAUGUUUUUAUGAUUGUAUUAGAACAACUCAUAAUUGCGUUAUACCUUGAUAUUCCUAAGCUACCAGGUUUUGUAAACCUGCAAAUUAAAGUGUAAAGUAGUUGUAUGUCAAAAGUUACACAUCCAUUGUCAUGUCGAACUCAAGGCAUUUGGCUUGAAUAUGCCAUUAGAUGGAGUAUAUAUAUUUCAGAAUCCACUCUCUUGACUCAAAAUUCAUUAUUCUGAAUUUUGAAUUUGCUGCUGCACAUGUUUAUGCUCACCUCAUAGCUAAUGCUUAUGUGCAGGUUGAAAGUUGCUCUUCAUUCUCUUCUAGUGACAUUUUGGAAAUUCGGAGUUGCAGAAAUCUUAUGGUAUACGAUUUUCUCAGCUUCAAAAAGGUACGAUAUGCAUCUCCGUUCAAUUGUGAUUUUCGAAACUGUAUGGCUGGGUAGUAGUGUAGUACAGUAGUUGCAAACAACAACCGUAUUUCUGUGUUGUUUUAGACAACUUAUGAAGUAGUAUGAAUAGGGUGUUAGUUUAAGCUAAUCUUUACCAGGGUGCUGGUAUCAUGAAUAUAUUGGUAUGCUCUUUGCAAGUCCUGGUUUAUAUAUUUACCCUUUAGUCUUAAUUAUGUUUAGUCGAAAACAGUGUUCAUUAUAACGUUGUUCCCUUGUUCAAGCUUUUACUACUUGAUAAGAUUUUGCUGCAGCUCCCGUCUAUGAAAAAAGGGGUUUUGUUUAGCUUGUGGGAAGCUUUUCCUUUUACGAAUUACCAUCAGAAUUAGUUUGCAAAUUCGCCUCAUGUUGGUGUUGCGGAGCCAAACCAGUUAUUUUGUAAUUUAGGAGCCAAGUGUAUUGAUUGACAUGGAAGAGAAUCAAUUUUUAUUACUCUUUUAUAUCCUCCGAGGAGAAAAUGAGACGUAUAAAAAUCAACUGAAUUUGAAUUUCAGUUGGCUAAAGAUACACUAGCCUGUUGAAGAAUUCGAUGAUCGUCACUAAUAGAAAUGACCACCCUAAGUAUCAGCUACAAUUUACUUACAAGUUAGACAAUACCUAUCUUUUCUUUCCUAAGGUUUAAAACAUCAUGGUACUGAUUACUGAAUGUUGCUAGCUUGUUCAGCCUAGGUGGCUGCCUUGCUGAUUCAGUAGGACACUGCUCCCUAGUUUUCAUCUGGCUUUCCUUUAGUCUUACUCAAUCUGCUGGCUGGAAAAUGCAACCGUGCCAUCAGUGGUCUUGGUGCCCGUGUCUUCUUGUCAAAACCCCUCACACAAACAAACCCUGCGAAAUAAAGUACUUGAUCAGAAAGCAAAUAAAAGGUAUUGCAGCAAGGAAUAACACUUCUUCCUCUUAGUGACCUGAAUGAUUACUAUUCCUCAAAAUUUUGUUUUUAUGAUUUGUCCUGAGAGUGUAUAAAGAAAGCAUGAAACUUGCCAACAUGUUUUUUGAUGCUGAGCAAGUUGUAAUACAUUCUUUUUGGAUGCCAAAGGUAUCUAAUUGUGCCGUUUCUUGUUUGGGAGUCAUCAUUCCGAAGAAGGAUUGAAUGAUGAUUAUGGACUUAAUAAAAAAGAAAAAGUUGAUUGAUGGAAACCUAACUGGUACACAUUAUGUGUAAUUGUUGAGAGCAUGCAUCUAUGUCUGUGUUUACUCUUAUUACUGUAUGUCACUCUUUUUUCAAGUGUAUACAUGUGUUCUGGCCCUGCUCCAUAGUCAAAAAUAGAGGAGACAGGGCUGAUUGGCUGAAGGGAAUACAGAUUUUUCUGUUCGAAAGAUGGACUAGAACCAAGAUAACAUGUUCAUAGAUUAUCUUAAAAAAGAUAAGCUGUCUGCAUUAAUCGGUCAUAAACAGAUUGGAUGAAGAAGCAAAUAUUAUCAACAUAUCUGCAAAUAAGACUCUGGUUUUAACUUUCUCUCGAACCAUCACGUCAGAUAUCCUCGAUGACUCACUCUAUACCAAAUGGUAAACCUUGGAGGUUCUUCAAUUAUUUCUAUAUAAGCUGUAUAAACUUGUUCUCCCAGAUUAUUUUUUCCCCAGUUUCAAGCUUUGUUCUGAUGCUGAAUGCUUAUGCCCAUUUAACUUGAUACAGAGUCUUUUUGAACUUGAAUAUGGUAUUAACAUGCACACUUUUCGUUGAUUUAUUUAGUAGAAAUGGAUUAGAAGUUAAGACAAGCAUUUGGACCUCUGUGGAUUUAAAGUUUUCGACUACAUACCUCUCCAAAAGCAAUGUUGGAUACUUUCUGUGGUUAGGCCUGAUUAACAAAGAACAUAUUAAUGUUAUUUUACUCCCAAAGCAUUUAAAAAAAUAAAUGAUCAUCCUUUAGUUGUCCUUUUACCUUUAAAUAUUGUUGGUAUUGAGGUUCCAAAGUAAACUGUUCGUCGCGGCAGAUUCCAUAGCCAAUCUCGUGGGACGUCAAUUGGGUUGAGGCUGGAGUCAUGGUCUGCAAACACCUGAGAAAUAAGAAAAAUGCUACUGUGAAAACCUUAUUAAAUGGUAAAAUGCUUAUCUUUGACAUGUUCGAGUGAUGAGCUUAAAGUCGGCUGUAUUCACCUCGUUAACUUGAAAGUAUGUACCAUUGAGCGGAAAGCUUCCUCUCAUUGCCGUUCGACAUGGUAUCUGUUAGAGAAGUAUAUAUAGAGAUGAUUAGAAUUCUCAGACCGCUUUCCCAUGACAAACAUUACAGUUAGUUUGCUCUUUCUUUACCAGAAUUGUCCCUCUCACUGUUUGAGAAUGUGCUUCACGUAGGCUGUUGCAUGCAAAGCAUGUUUCAUCAUCACAUAGCCUACCAGCCUCUUGGGAGUUGCACUUUAUUGCAGGUGGAUGAAUAGAAUCCGCUGUUUCACCUGAGAUGGAAUUGAUACAUGACAGAGAAUAAGUUAUUUUGAAAGCCUGGGGAAAAGUUAACCUAUUUCGCCAAAUUACCCUCUACCACUGUAACACAAGCUACUAAUGAGAUUGGAACCUGGGACUUGCAUAGUUAGCUAUGUGCAAUUGUUCCUUACAAACAUGAGUUAUCUAAUUCAUCAGUUUUAGGGUUAAAGUAGUCGGAAGCGGAUGCUUUGCCUUUAGCUUUUUCGAAACAUCUCCUCCUAUGUAUUACAUUACAUUAAUCUUACCAGGUGUCCAUAUUGCCAGAAGAUAGGAGCAUGGAUCAUCUGGUUCUCUUUUGUCGAACUGCAACAUGAAAAGAUGCAAUUAUCGGGAGGAUUAAUUUCAAUAUCAGCUUACAUGCUGCUUAUAUAUGAAUAUUAAACUGAUGUAGUAUCACUGACCCCUUCUAGGAGAGGAUGAGAAUCCGAAAGUUCAUAUCUGUGGAUGGAGAAACAGUUGAUAGUAAGUGCAAACAAAUUUAGAAGAACUGUAUGAAAUAAUAGGCUACCCUCCCAUAUUGGGCUAUCUAUCAGAAGUUAUUGCACAUCUUUACUUUAUUUUAUGAUGUAGAUAUCAGGAGCAUCCACUUACACUUGAUGUUCAGUUCUGAGCCGGCUUAUAUGCUUAAGUUUAGGCACGGGAAUCGAUGCAGCUUCUGGAGUUAAAGCGACCAAGGCUUUUGACAUUUCUACCUGUUGAAGCUCCAUAUUGUUUUCCAUAAAUUUCCUCACAUUUUGAGUGAACUCUGCCAUAUUCAAUGUAAUUGUAGGAAUUUCAUUAGGAUCUUCAAAGUAAGCAUCUUCAAUGUCAACUUCGGGAGCUUUUUGCUCUGGCUCAGGCGAGGCAAGCUCUUCUACAAUGGGCUCUGG